UACGGAGGGCUCAAGCGUUGUUCGGAUUCAUUGGGCGUAAAGGGUGCGUAGGCGGCGCGGUAAGUCGGGUGUGAAAUUUCGAGGCUUAACUUCGAAGCUGCAUUCGAUACUGCCGUGCUUGAGGACUGGAGAGGAGACUGGAAUUUACGGUGUAGCGGUGAAAUGCGUAGAGAUGUGGAGGAACACCGAUGGCGAAGGCAGCCCCCUGGGCUGAGAUUGACGCUCAGGCACGAAAGCGUGGGGAGCAAACAGG
rnacentral:rRNA from 1 species